rnacentral:rRNA from 1 species
GGUGAGUAACGCGUGGGAACGUACCUUUUGGUUCGGAACAACACAGGGAAACUUGUGCUAAUACCGGAUAAGCCCUUACGGGGAAAGAUUUAUCGCCGAAAGAUCGGCCCGCGUCUGAUUAGCUAGUUGGUGAGGUAAUGGCUCACCAAGGCGACGAUCAGUAGCUGGUCUGAGAGGAUGAUCAGCCACAUUGGGACUGAGACACGGCCCAAACUCCUACGGGAGGCAGCAGUGGGGAAUAUUGGACAAUGGGGGCAACCCUGAUCCAGCCAUGCCGCGUGAGUGAUGAAGGCCCUAGGGUUGUAAAGCUCUUUUGUGCGGGAAGAUAAUGACGGUACCGCAAGAAUAAGCCCCGGCUAACUUCGUGCCAGCAGCCGCGGUAAUACGAAGGGGGCUAGCGUUGCUCGGAAUCACUGGGCGUAAAGGGUGCGUAGGCGGGUUUUUAAGUCAGGGGUGAAAUCCUGGAGCUCAACUCCAGAACUGCCUUUGAUACUGAAGAUCUUGAGUCCGGGAGAGGUGAGUG